rnacentral:rRNA from 1 species
UACGGAGGGGGCAAGCGUUACUCGGAAUUAUUGGGCGUAAAGGGCGCGUAGGCGGUCGUGCGCGUCGGAGGUGAAAUCCCCGGGCUUAACCCGGGAGCUGCCUCCGAUACGGCAUGGCUUGAGUCCGGGAGAGGGGAGCAGAAUUCCCAGUGUAGCGGUGAAAUGCGUAGAUAUUGGGAGGAAUACCAGUGGCGAAGGCGGCUCCCUGGACCGGUACUGACGCUGAGGCGCGAAAGCGUGGGUAGCAAACAGG